UCACUCAGGAAGCAUUUCUUGAGCACCUACUGUGUGCCAAACACAGUUCCGGGGCCCAGCUGCGACCACAGCGGCAGCCCUGCCUCUAUGAAGCCGAUGGGAGAGAGAAACACAAUCGACAAUAUUAAAUGAGUAAAAUACACAACCUGUCCUAUGGUGAUUGAGAAGAGUUAUACCGCCCAGUAUUGCCGAACCCCCGGACCAGGCCCAGUCCCGUGCUUGGACUAUGCCUGCGGACGGCAGUGAUGGGGCGAAUCGUCCGGCGGGAGAGCCAGACCCAUCCCUGGACAGUUAUGACCCAGAGCAGGCAGCGCUGGGAUGGAGAUGCUUGACCCAACCUAGGGUUUGAGGAGGGCUUCCUGGAGGAGGGGGCAUCAAAGUUUCCUUGGAAGGUGGGGAUUGUGUCGAUCUUUUUCAGGGCUCUAGCCCGUGUCCUCCCCUUGCUCCUUUCCACAUAUCCCCCUUUAUUACCCAUUUUAAGUGUAAUAAAUACCUAUUGUCCCAUACAUUUGAAUCCUUCCCUCGCCCCACCAGAGGCGCACUCCCUACCCUGUCCCAUAGCCUCACAGUAAAGAAGCACUCAGAAUUUU